rnacentral:lncRNA from 1 species
GUGAAGCCGGAGGUUGCUAAGUGGAAGUGCAGGUGCUGCUGCUUCUUGCACAAACUGCAGUUGUAAUCCAGGAUUCACGGGCCUGUAGGGGCUCAGACUUCAAAUUGAACCGCGCCUCGGCGGCAGCCACAGGUGUAAUACACGAGGCCCAGGUACCAGAAGGUGUCCAGCAGGGCCUUGGCGGCGCCCUAGCAGCUGAGGUCCAGCCGCUGCGCGCCCAGGUUCAUCUCAUUAGUGGACGCCGCGGGCCCGCGAGUUCGGAGCAGCGCGUGUAUCUGUGGGUCUUUGGGGCUGGCCUCGCUAGCCUACCAGCUUCCUUUCGGUGAUGCUCUUUGCUACCGCCAGGCUCCUGACCCCAGCUUGGACAGCAGGCCGCCGAGCGCCCCUGACGCCCGUUACCGAGAUGGCUGCGCAGAAGGGUAACCCAGAAUGACAUCUAUGCCUUUCAUCUGUAAAAUAACAACAACAGUGGGCUCUGGGAACACAGACUAAGACUCCUUAACCACAGCCAUAGGAGUGGCUGUGGGGCUGUGAUCUCUCCUAGAACCUCAGAGGCAUGAAGCUAGAAUAUCUUCCCCUUCAAGGAGAAUAAGCCAAGCUAUGGUUGUUGCGGCCUUUGUUGAUGACAUUCAGCAUUGACUUCUUGGGUAAGGUAUUCAGUAGUUAAGAUUCAAUGACUCCAGUGAAAGGUAUGUUUCCAUCGUGAUGUUCUUCUUCUGGACAAUAAGUGAAAAGAGCAUGUGAGUACCUCUCUCACUCCCAGCAAAUAAUUGUUGUGUCACCUCCACAUGUUUCUUCACGAUUCGAGGCUUUGAUUUCCCCUGCAAGACAAAAUGCAAUGAAGUGAUACAGAAAAAAAGAAAUUCUAUGCUGUCAUCACACUAGACCAUGAUGUUGAUUUAUGGAUGGUCUGCUUUCUUAUAUGCACUUAAUAUUUUUGUACAAGCAAACCUGAAAAGUGUCAAAAUCCCCUUUAACAGAUUAACAGGCUGAGAUGGGUUAAAGUGAGCAAGCCGGGAAGUGGUGGAGCUGGGAUCCACACCCUGGUCUGUCUGAGUCCAGAUGUAAUCAUCUUGCAUUCACUAUGGCAUGUUUCCCUUAUGUUAAGGGUUGCUGACAUAGACAGUGCAUGUCAUUCCUUUUGGUAUGGUCUUCCUCCUUUCUAGCUUUUUUCUGCCUGGAAGAUCCAGGCACCCAAGAGAAUGGAGCUUCCAUGUAAAUUUGCAGAAUCCCUAGGAUGAAAGCGGAGAGGAUCUACCCUGAAACCAACAAGUCUAGGAUGCACAUCUCUGCCUUUUUUUCAGAAUUAGGAAGGGGCAGGCAGAUGGGCAAUUGACAGGAAUAGUAGAAGCAUCCUCGGGGAAGUUGGCUACUUUACUUAGUGAGAAAGCAAUGGAAAGUGACAUUUGUAACUGAGUUUUAAGUGAAGUACAGUCCUAAGAGAGGAGCUCUGAAAAACAGCUGUUACCUGAGAUUGGGAAUGUUAAAGACCUUCUCAGAGCCUGACUGUACUCACAGCUGGACCUAGCUAUCAGAAGAGGGACUGCAACAUACCUGAGAAACUUUCAGAAUACUUAACGGAAGCAGAGUCAGGGGAAGUGAUUUUGAUAGUAGUCCAUGAGAAAAAAAUACGGUGUUUUAAAAUGCAAAUGAACUAAAAUUUAAAUCCUGCUCUCUCAGUAGCUAUGCAGCCUUAGGCGAGUUAAUAUCUUUGACCUUAGUAUUUCUCAGGUGUAAAGAGGGAUAAUUACCUACUCAGAACUUCACCUCUCCCAAGAAAGCUUUCCUGACCAUGUGCUGGCCCUUCCUUUACAUUGGGAUUAAAGUACCCCCCCCCGUUUUUCCAGGCUUUCUUGACUUUAAUUCUGUCAUAGCUCUAAUUAAGAACCUCUGUAAUGAUCUGUCUGCAAGCUUGUGAGAAAUUUGAGGACUGGGAACCAGCCUGAAACAUGUCUGUUCCCCUCUGAGUCAACACAGUGCCUGGGAUCUGGUGUCCAGUAGGGAUUUAAAGCAUAUUGAUUGAAUGAGAAAUGAUGACAGGAUCUACAUGGAUCACAAAGGAUAGUUGUUAUUUUACCUGUUAACUAUUUAAUAGCGAAAUUAAAUGAAAUAUGAAUUAACCUAGGACCAGGGAAGGUGGGGUAAGUUGUGUCUUUCACAUCAACCUUCAUAUGUUCCCCAAUUUUUUCUUCCUUCAUGUACCUAGGACACUCUUGUUCAAACACAAAGGUGGUUUUAUUUUGGGUCUAUACUAGCUAGUUCCCUAGAAAGGUCUUAAAUACAAAAUGAAUGGAAUACAAAAUAACCUCCCUCAUUGUUUUUUUUCCCGGACAAAUGACAGGAUGCAUACAGAACUGCUACUUUUGUGAUGUUGCAAGUAAUGGUAUAGAUGUGCACAAAUCAUGGAUGUGGUCCCAGUGAUCCAUGGAAAUGUGAAGUCCAGAGAUACCUUCCCAAGUGAAAGCAAUAAGCCUUAACCAAAGCUGUGACUUAACCAAGGAUUCACAAGGCAUCUCCAAACAUUUCUAGGAUACGUGUGCAGAACGUGCAGGUCCGUUACAUAGGUAUACAUGUGCCAUGGUGGUUUGCUGAACCCAUCAACCCGUCAUCUUCAAAGCCUUUUUGAGACUGGCCACCCAAUGGGACUCGAAAAUUAUGCUGCCUGGAUGGCACAGACCAAGAGAGUCCUUCCACUUGGUCACAAGUCAAGCUUUCAAGGACAUCAAACAAGAUGAGAGAGAACCUAAAAUGAUACUCCUCUUCAUGACAGAAGGACACCCAAAGACAAAGGAAAAGACUAUUUCUGGUAGAAAAGGGACCAAACACUAUGAAUAUUCAAACCACAAAGUACCAAAAAGUAUACCAGAGUCACUAGAACAAGAUGAGUUAAACAAAUCCUUUCCUCCUAUUAAUCAAGACUUUGGAGAAGAAAAACAAAUAACAAUAUUUACCAUCCACUUGACCAGAUUCCACAGAAAGACAGAGACCUGGAGCCUGACUGGUAAGAAAUCCUUACCCUUUUGAUGGCUCAUCAGGACCUGGAUUCACUUGGCUGUGGGUCAGGAGAGCAGAGCCUGCUCACAGCCUCAAACUGUAGGAA